CCUACGGGUGGCAGCAGUGGGGAAUAUUGGGCAAUGGACGAAACUCUGACCCAGCAACGCCGCGUGAAUGAUGAAGGUCUUCGGAUUGUAAAGUUCUUUUCUUAGGGAAGUCAAAAGUGACGGUACCUUAUGUAUAAGCCUCGGCUAACUACGUGCCAGCAGCCGCGGUAAUACGUAGGAGGCGAGCGUUAUCCGGAUUGACUUGUCGUCAAGGGUGCGUAGGUGGGUUGGCAAGUUAGUAGCGUAAGUCAAAGGCUCAACCUUGGAACUACUACUAAAACUGUUGGACUUGAGGUCAGGAGGGGCAACCGGAAGUCCUAGUGUAGCGGUGGAAUGCGUAGAUAUUAGGAGGAACACCAGUGGCGAAGGCGGGUUGCUAGACUGUAACUGACACUGAGGCACGAAAGCGUGGGGAGCAAACAGGAUUAGAUACCCCUGUAGUC
rnacentral:rRNA from 1 species